AGACUUAUGAAGAGGGGACACCUGGAUGUGCCUGGAAAUUACUACUUUCUUUGAGGAGUCAACCAGCUAAUUUAUGAAGCAUGCUGUAAAAGUACCACCCCCGUGAUUAAGGAAAAGAUCUUGAGUCACCUUCCAAAAGACGUAGAUUUCCGGCAAACCUGUAGGCCAUCUGUCACUGUGGGCAGGCAAGAAGAAACUGGGAAAUUGUAAAAAGCAGCAAGCCUGUAGUGAACUGAUUCCUGGAAAGGAGACCAUUCCUCAAAGUCACUUUAUGAGUAUACAUGUUCCAUCU